UACGGAGGGAGCUAGCGUUGUUCGGAAUUACUGGGCGUAAAGCGCACGUAGGCGGCUUUGUAAGUUAGAGGUGAAAGCCCGGGGCUCAACCCCGGAAUUGCCUUUAAGACUGCAUCGCUUGAAUCCGGGAGAGGUGAGUGGAAUUCCGAGUGUAGAGGUGAAAUUCGUAGAUAUUCGGAAGAACACCAGUGGCGAAGGCGGCUCACUGGACCGGUAUUGACGCUGGGGUGCGAAAGCGUGGGGAGCAAACAGG
rnacentral:rRNA from 1 species